UGGAGCCCAGCCUGCUUACUGGAGAGGGUGGCUACUACCUGACCAGCCUCUCUGCCAGCCUGGCCCUGCUGAGUGGCCUGGGUCAGGCCCACACCCUCCCACUGAGCCCCGUGCAGGAGCUACGGCGCUCCCUCAGCCUCUGGGAGCAGCGCCGCCUGCCUGCCACCCACUGCUUCCAGGUAACAGGCCCUCCACCGUGUCCUCAGAGCCAGACGCCAUCCCCGCCUUUCACCUUCCUGUCCUUGGUGAAGAGUCCAGACUCUGUAGACAGAUCCUGGGUUCUAAUCCUGGCUCUGCCACUGGGUUGUGGGGACUUGGGCGAGUUACUUAACUACUUCGUGCCUCAGUUUUCUCAUCAGUAAAAUGGGGUAAUAGGACCUACCUCCUGGGGUUGAGGUGAAGAUUAAAUGAGUUAAUGCAGGAGAGUGCUUGGGGCACAAAUUACUCACUAUCAAAUCUUCAUCUCAGGCUUGUGAGCGCCCCACUGGGCUGUCCUUGCACCUGCGGCUGUGGCCCACAAGCCGACCCCUGGAGCACAUAGAGCUUUUGCCGCUUGGUUCUCCCACUGGAUCUCCACCUACCCACCCUGUCCCUGCACAGCCCAGAAAGCUGAUGUCUCAGCUUUGGAGCCAGAUGCAUGCCAGCCGGGGCUGAGUACUUGUUUUUGCUUCUCCUCCUGCAUAGCACCUCCUCCGAGUAGCCUAUCAGGAUCCCAGCAGUGGCUGCACCUCCAAGACCCUGGCCGUGCCCCCAGAAGCCUCGAUUGCCACCCUGAACCAGCUCUGUGCCACCAAGUUCCGAGUGACCCAGCCCAACACUUUUGGCCUCUUCCUGUACAAGGAGCAGG
rnacentral:lncRNA from 10 species